rnacentral:lncRNA from 1 species
AGAGGAUUAAGUAAGAUGAGCCCUGUCAAUUACUGAGCCCUGGAUACUUGCAGAUCACAUUCAGGGGGUGAUGAAUGAGAGCCUUGGUGCCUCGGAGAGCUGGGGAGCGCUGAGCUGGGGCAGGUCGGUGUGUUCUUUGUUUUGUUACACAAAAAAACAAAAAGUCUCUCCCUUCCUUUCCUUCCUUCCUUCCAUCCUUCCUUCUUCCUUCCUUCCUUCCUUCCUUCCUUCCUUCCUUCCUUCCUUCCUUCUUUCCUUCCUUCCUUCUUUCCUUCCUUCCUUCUUUUCUUCCUUUCUUCCUUCCUCCUUCCUUCCUUCCUCCUUCCUUCUUUCCUUCCUUCCUUCCUUCCUCCUUCCUUCCUUCCUUCCUUCCUUCCUUCCUUCUUUCUUUCCUUCCUUCCUUCUUUCCUUCCUUCCUUCUUUUCUUCCUUUCUUCCUUCCUCCUUCCUUCCUUCCUCCUUCCUUCUUUCCUUCCUUCCUUCCUUCCUCCUUCCUUCCUUCCUUCCUUCCUUCCUUCCUUCUUUCUUUCCUUCCUUCCUUCUUUCCUUCCUUCCUUCUUUUCUUCCUUUCUUCCUUCCUCCUUCCUUCCUUCCUCCUUCCUUCUUUCCUUCCUUCCUUCCUUCCUCCUUCCUUCCUUCCUUCCUUCCUUCCUUCCUUCUUUCUUUCCUUCCUUCCUUCUUUCCUUCCUUCCUUCUUUUCUUCCUUUCUUCCUUCCUCCUUCCUUCCUUCCUCCUUCCUUCUUUCCUUCCUUCCUUCCUUCCUUUUCUUCCUUUUUGUCUGCCACAAUCAAGAAACAAUUGAAGGUGUCUUUUUUUUUUUUUACAUUCAUAAAACUCUUGUGUUUUUUUUUCAACAAUUUUUAUUUAUUGAGAGAAAGAGAGAGGGAGCAGGGGGAGGAGCAGAGGGAGAGGGAGAAGCAGGUUCCCCACUGAGUAGGGAGCCUUACAAGGGGGCUCAAUAGCAGGACCCCGGAUCAUGACCUGAGACAAAGGCAGAUGCUU